GGUGGCUCAGCAGUAGAGUACUUGCCUUGCAUGCAUGAGGCCCUGGGUUCGAUUCCUCAGCACCA
rnacentral:tRNA from 1 species